rnacentral:rRNA from 1 species
GACGAACGCUGGCGGCGUGCUUAACACAUGCAAGUCGAACGGAAAGGCCCUGCUUUUGUGGGGUGCUCGAGUGGCGAACGGGUGAGUAACACGUGAGUAACCUGCCCUUGACUUUGGGAUAACUUCAGGAAACUGGGGCUAAUACCGGAUAGGAGCUCCUGCUGCAUGGUGGGGGUUGGAAAGUUUCGGCGGUUGGGGAUGGACUCGCGGCUUAUCAGCUUGUUGGUGGGGUAGUGGCUUACCAAGGCUUUGACGGGUAGCCGGCCUGAGAGGGUGACCGGGCACAUGGGGACUGAGAUACGGACCAGACUCCUACGGGAGGCAGCAGGGGGGAAUAUUGCACAAUGGGCGGAAGCCUGAGGCAGCAACGCCGCGUGCGGGAUGACGGCCUUCGGGUUGUAAACCGCUUUCGACUGUGACGAAGCGUGAGUGACGGUAAUGGGUAAAGAAGCACCGGCUAACUACGUG